rnacentral:rRNA from 1 species
CCUACGGGAGGCAGCAGUGGGGAAUAUUGCACAAUGGGGGAAACCCUGAUGCUGCGACGCCCCGUGAGUGAAGAAGUAUCUCGGUACGUAAAGCUCUAUCAGCAGGGAAGAAAAUGACGGUACCUGACUAAGCAGCCACGGCUAACUACGUGCCAGCAGCCGCGGUAAUACGUAGGGGGCAAGCGUUAUCCGGAUUUACUGGGUGUAAAGGGAGCGUAGACGGCAGCACAAGUCUGGAGUGAAAUCCCGGGGCUUAACCCCGGAACUGCUUUGGAAACUGUGCGGCUGGAGUGCAGGAGGGGUAAGCGGAAUUCCUAGUUUAGCGGUGCAAUGCUUAGAUAGUAGGAGGAACACCGGUGGCGAAGGCGGCUUACUGGACUGUAACGGACGUUGAGGCUCGAAAGCGUGGGGAGCAAACAGGAUUAGAUACCCUUGUAGUC